rnacentral:rRNA from 1 species
GGUUAAGCGACUAAGCGUACACGGUGGAUGCCCUGGCAGUCAGAGGCGAUGAAGGACGUGCUAAUCUGCGAAAAGCGUCGGUAAGGUGAUAUGAACCGUUAUAACCGGCGAUGUCCGAAUGGGGAAACCCAGUGCAAUUCGUUGCACUAUCGUUAACUGAAUACAUAGGUUAACGAGGCGAACCGGGGGAACUGAAACAUCUAAGUACCCCGAGGAAAAGAAAUCAACCGAGAUUCCCCCAGUAGCGGCGAGCGAACGGGGAGCAGCCCAGAGUCUGAAUCAGCUUGUGUGUUAGUGGAACGGUCUGGAAAGUCCGACGGUACAGGGUGAUAGUCCCGUACACCAAAAUGCACAGGUUGUGAACUCGAAGAGUAGGGCGGGACACGUGGUAUCCUGUCUGAAUAUGGGGGGACCAUCCUCCAAGGCUAAAUACUCCUGACUGACCGAUAGUGAACCAGUACCGUGAGGGAAAGGCGAAAAGAACCCCGGCGAGGGGAGUGAAAAAGAACCUGAAACCGUGUACGUACAAGCAGUGGGAGCACCUUCGGGUGUGACUGCGUACCUUUUGUAUAAUGGGUCAGCGACUUAUAUUCUGUAGCAAGGUUAACCGUAUAGGGGAGCCGCAGGGAAACCGAGUCUUAACUGGGCGUUAAGUUGCAGGGUAUAGACCCGAAACCCGGUGAUCUAGCCAUGGGCAGGUUGAAGGUUGGGUAACACUAACUGGAGGACCGAACCGACUAAUGUUGAAAAAUUAGCGGAUGACUUGUGGCUGGGGGUGAAAGGCCAAUCAAACCGGGAGAUAGCUGGUUCUCCCCGAAAGCUAUUUAGGUAGCGCCUCGUGAACUCAUCUUCGGGGGUAGAGCACUGUUUCGGCUAGGGGGUCAUCCCGACUUACCAACCCGAUGCAAACUACGAAUACCGAAGAAUGUUAUCACGGGAGACACACGGCGGGUGCUAACGUCCGUCGUGAAGAGGGAAACAACCCAGACCGCCAGCUAAGGUCCCAAAGUCAUGGUUAAGUGGGAAACGAUGUGGGAAGGCACAGACAGCCAGGAUGUUGGCUUAGAAGCAGCCAUCAUUUAAAGAAAGCGUAAUAGCUCACUGGUCGAGUCGGCCUGCGCGGAAGAUGUAACGGGGCUAAACCAUGCACCGAAGCUGCGGCAGCGACACUAUGUGUUGUUGGGUAGGGGAGCGUUCUGUAAGCCUGCGAAGGUGUGCUGUGAGGCAUGCUGGAGGUAUCAGAAGUGCGAAUGCUGACAUAAGUAACGAUAAAGCGGGUGAAAAGCCCGCUCGCCGGAAGACCAAGGGUUCCUGUCCAACGUUAAUCGGGGCAGGGUGAGUCGACCCCUAAGGCGAGGCCGAAAGGCGUAGUCGAUGGGAAACAGGUUAAUAUUCCUGUACUUGGUGUUACUGCGAAGGGGGGACGGAGAAGGCUAUGUUAGCCGGGCGACGGUUGUCCCGGUUUAAGCAUGUAGGCUGGUUGUCCAGGCAAAUCCGGAUAAUCAAGGCUGAGGUGUGAUGACGAGGCACUACGGUGCUGAAGUAACAAAUGCCCUGCUUCCAGGAAAAGCCUCUAAGCAUCAGGUAACAUUAAAUCGUACCCCAAACCGACACAGGUGGUCAGGUAGAGAAUACCAAGGCGCUUGAGAGAACUCGGGUGAAGGAACUAGGCAAAAUGGUGCCGUAACUUCGGGAGAAGGCACGCUGGUGUGUAGGUGAAGCCCCUGCGGGUGGAGCUGAGACCAGUCGAAGAUACCAGCUGGCUGCAACUGUUUAUUAAAAACACAGCACUGUGCAAACACGAAAGUGGACGUAUACGGUGUGACGCCUGCCCGGUGCCGGAAGGUUAAUUGAUGGGGUUAUCCGUAAGGAGAAGCUCUUGAUCGAAGCCCCGGUAAACGGCGGCCGUAACUAUAACGGUCCUAAGGUAGCGAAAUUCCUUGUCGGGUAAGUUCCGACCUGCACGAAUGGCGUAAUGAUGGCCAGGCUGUCUCCACCCGAGACUCAGUGAAAUUGAACUCGCUGUGAAGAUGCAGUGUACCCGCGGCAAGACGGAAAGACCCCGUGAACCUUUACUAUAGCUUGACACUGAACAUUGAGCCUUGAUGUGUAGGAUAGGUGGGAGGCUUUGAAGCGUGGACGCCAGUCUGCGUGGAGCCAACCUUGAAAUACCACCCUUUAAUGUUUGAUGUUCUAACGUUGGCCCCUUACCGGGGUUGCGGACAGUGUCUGGUGGGUAGUUUGACUGGGGCGGUCUCCUCCCAAAGCGUAACGGAGGAGCACGAAGGUUAGCUAAUCCUGGUCGGACAUCAGGAGGUUAGUGCAAUGGCAUAAGCUAGCUUGACUGCGAGCGUGACGGCGCGAGCAGGUGCGAAAGCAGGUCAUAGUGAUCCGGUGGUUCUGAAUGGAAGGGCCAUCGCUCAACGGAUAAAAGGUACUCCGGGGAUAACAGGCUGAUACCGCCCAAGAGUUCAUAUCGACGGCGGUGUUUGGCACCUCGAUGUCGGCUCAUCACAUCCUGGGGCUGAAGUAGGUCCCAAGGGUAUGGCUGUUCGCCAUUUAAAGUGGUACGCGAGCUGGGUUUAGAACGUCGUGAGACAGUUCGGUCCCUAUCUGCCGUGGGCGCUGGAGAAUUGAGGGGGGCUGCUCCUAGUACGAGAGGACCGGAGUGGACGCAUCACUGGUGUUCGGGUUGUCAUGCCAAUGGCACUGCCCGGUAGCUAAAUGCGGAAGAGAUAAGUGCUGAAAGCAUCUAAGCACGAAACUUGCCCCGAGAUGAGUUCUCCCUGAGACUUUAAGUCUCCUGAAGGAACGUUAAAGACGAUGACGUUGAUAGGCCGGGUGUGUAAGCGCAGCGAUGCGUUGAGCUAACCGGUACUAAUGAACCGUGAGGCUUAACCUU